AUUGAACGCUGGCGGCAGGCCUAACACAUGCACGUCGAGCGAGCGGCGGACGGGUGAGUAAUGUCUGGGAAACUGCCUGAUGGAGGGGGAUCACUACUGGAAACGGUAGCUAAUACCGCAUACCAUCAGAUGUGCCCAGAUGGGGGUAGCUAGUCGGGGGGGUAAUGGCUCACAUAGGCGGCGAUCCCUAGCUGGUCUGAGAGGAUGACCAGCCACAUUGGAACUGAGACACGGGCCAGACUCCGACGGGCGGCAGAAGUGGGGAAUAUUGCACAAUGGGGGAAAGGCGGAUGCAGCAAUGCCGCGUGUGUGAAGAAGGCUUUCGGGUUGUAAAGCACGUUCAGCGGGGAGGCGUUACCCGCAGAAGGAGCACGGGCUAACUCCGUGCCAGCCGCCGCGGUAAUAC
rnacentral:rRNA from 1 species